CAGCACCUCAAGUGGUCAGGAUGAUUAUUGGGCCUAAAGCAUCCGUAGCCGGCUCUGUAAGUUUUCGGUUAAAUCUGUAUGCUCAACAUACAGGCUGCCGGGAAUACUGCAGAGCUAGGGAGUGGGAGAGGUAGACGGUACUCGGUAGGAAGGGGUAAAAUCCUUUGAUCUAUUGAUGGCCACCUGUGGCGAAGGCGGUCUACCAGAACACGUCCGACGGUGAGGGAUGAAAGCUGGGGGAGCAAACCGGAUUAGAGACCCCAGUAGUCC
rnacentral:rRNA from 1 species